rnacentral:rRNA from 1 species
ACUGAACGCUGGCGGCAGGCCUAACACAUGCAAGUCGAACGGUAACAGGAAGAAGCUUGCUUCUUUGCUGACGAGUGGCGGACGGGUGAGUAAUGUCUGGGAAACUGCCUGAUGGAGGGGGAUAACUACUGGAAACGGUAGCUAAUACCGCAUAACGUCGCAAGACCAAAGAGGGGGACCUUCGGGCCUCUUGCCAUCGGAUGUGCCCAGAUGGGAUUAGCUAGUAGGUGGGGUAACGGCUCACCUAGGCGACGAUCCCUAGCUGGUCUGAGAGGAUGACCAGCCACACUGGAACUGAGACACGGUCCAGACUCCUACGGGAGGCAGCAGUGGGGAAUAUUGCACAAUGGGCGCAAGCCUGAUGCAGCCAUGCCGCGUGUAUGAAGAAGGCCUUCGGGUUGUAAAGUACUUUCAGCGGGGAGGAAGGGAGUAAAGUUAAUACCUUUGCUCAUUGACGUUACCCGCAGAAGAAGCACCGGCUAACUCCGUG